UACGAGUUUGAUCAUGGCUCAGGAUGAACGCUGGCGGCGUGCCUAAUACAUGCAAGUCGAACGAGGUGCUUUUGUAGCAAUACGAAAGUAUCCUAGUGGCGAACGGGUGAGUAACGCCUUGGUGACCUACCCCAAAGUGUGGGAUAACAGUUCGAAAGAACUGCUAAUACCGCAUGUGGUUAUCGGAUUUAGAAACUGAUAACUAAAGGAGCAAUUCGCUUUGGGAGGGACCUGCGUCCCAUCAGCUAGUUGGUGAGGUAAUGGCUCACCAAGGCUACGACGGGUAGGGGACCUGAGAGGGUGACCCCCCACAAUGGAACUGAAACACGGUCCAUACACCUACGGGUGGCAGCAGUAGGGAAUAUUGCACAAUGGGCGAAAGCCUGAUGCAGCAACGCCGCGUGUGCGAUGAAGGCCCUCGGGUCGUAAAGCACUUUUCUGAGAGAUGAGCAAGGACAGUAUCUCAGGAAUAAGUCUCGGCUAACUACGUG
rnacentral:rRNA from 1 species